CACGCUUCUUCCUCCUGCUGUGUGGAUGGAGCAGACACCUGCCCGGCCAAAGGCAAACCCUGCAAAGCCCACGUGGUUUGAUUUCAGUGGAAUUGGUGUGGUUGCCCUUGACAGGAACACACAGAUGGAGGUAAACUUGGAACAACUUGUGACAUGGAAUCUUUGACGCCUGAUUUAAUUGCUGAUGAAGGUUGGUUUGUGCCAAAGUACUUCUCUAUGAAUCACAGUGGCUGAGGUGGGAUGGACGUUUUGUUCAGCUGCCCUGCUGUGGAGCCAGACCUCCUGGUGCACGGCCUGGGUGGACGGCUGAGCUUGGAACCCUUCAAACCAACACCGGAGCUGCUGCUGUUCCUCCUGCUGCCAAGAGCUCAAUUGUUGCACAGAUACUGGAGAUCUAUUGCCUAUUCAGAAGGCAGAGUGAAUUAUUCUUUGGUAUUUGCAGAACUAUGGCAACAGCCAAAAAUGUAAGAGGUGUAUUCGGGAUGAGAUGACCAAGAGAGUGAACAAAGCAAGCAAGCUGUUACAAGUAAUCUCUGAAACUGCGUGGGACAUCGCAACGUCUGGGAUGUCUGCUGGCACUGCAGAAAAGGACCGGAUUGCGAUGGGAGCUUCCCAAUACAGAGAGCUGAGCUCCUGUGUGCUGUGUCUGGUCCUGCUUUGCCACGCUGGACCCAGAUGAAAGCUGCUCCCAUCACACAGCAGAUGAAUACCAACUUGCAGGCAUAGCGAGGACACCACCAGGACAAAGCACAGAGCUCCUGGGCAGCAUCCCAGCUCUGAGCAGUGUGCAGCAGGCAGGUGGCUGCUGAGAAGUGGGAUUCCUUAGGUGUGGUGCAGCCGCAUCCACGUGCUGGCACUGCCCAUCCUGCUUGUUGACAUUGCAUGCGCAAAUCACAGGUGUGACAUCCGUAUGUUUCCUAAACAAUGUGUUGAAAGCAUGGUGGCUCGGGAGGGAUUUGUACAGCAGAGAGCAAGU
ensembl:lncRNA